ACAGCAGCAGCCACGGGAAUACAGAGGGUGCGAGCGUUAAUCGGAUUUACUGGGCGUAAAGCGUGCGUAGGCGGCUUCUUAAGUCGGAUGUGAAAUCCCUGAGCUUAACUUAGGAAUUGCAUUUGAUACUGGGAAGCUAGAGUAUGGGAGAGGAUGGUAGAAUUCCAGGUGUAGCGGUGAAAUGCGUAGAGAUCUGGAGGAAUACCGAUGGCGAAGGCAGCCAUCUGGCCUAAUACUGACGCUGAGGUACGAAAGCAUGGGGAGCAAACAGGAUUAGAUACCCCGGUAGUCCCUGUCUCUUAUAC
rnacentral:rRNA from 1 species